rnacentral:lncRNA from 1 species
GGAUGCUUGCAAUUUAUCCCUUUGAGCUGUCUUUCGUUUACCCGUAUGCUUGGUAUCGAUUGUCUCUCUGUUUUGGAUAGUCACCUAUUAUAUACCCAGUAACCGGUAUCUCUGGUGUCUUUUCCUUUCGAGUAUAUUAUUCACGGUCUGCCGGUAAUGAAUAAUAUAUCUCAUGCGCUCUUUAGUUGGAAUCCUUUGUUGAUUUUCCCCAACUGAGCAAGAUUCGUAUUCUUUGUAGAA